GACGAACGCUGGCGGCGUGCUUAACACAUGCAAGUCGAACGGAAAGGUCUCUUCGGAGAUACUCGAGUGGCGAACGGGUGAGUAACACGUGGGCAAUCUGCCCUGCACUUCGGGAUAAGCCUGGGAAACUGGGUCUAAUACCGGAUAGGACCACUUGGCGCAUGCCUUGUGGUGGAAAGCUUUUGCGGUGUGGGAUGGGCCCGCGGCCUAUCAGCUAGUUGGUGGGGUGAUGGCCUACCAAGGCGACGACGGGUAGCCGGCCUGAGAGGGUGUCCGGCCACACUGGGACUGAGAUACGGCCCAGACUCCUACGGGAGGCAGCAGUGGGGAAUAUUGCACAAUGGGCGCAAGCCUGAUGCAGCGACGCCGCGUGGGGGAUGACGGCCUUCGGGUUGUAAACCUCUUUCAGCAGGGACGAAGCGCAAGUGACGGUACCUGCAGAAGAAGCACCGGCCAACUACG
rnacentral:rRNA from 1 species